rnacentral:lncRNA from 1 species
CAGGGGGUGGAGGAGCUUGUGUGUGGGGGCAAGGUCCUUCCAUUCCUGUUAGUUGAUCUUUUCCUGAGCACUGGCAUAAAGGAUGGCUGGCCACUUGGAUGCUUCUCACAAACCUGGACCAUAAGUAUUGGGAGCUCCCAAGAACAUCUCCAUGGAAAGGCUUCUCUCCUCUGGCUUCUGGGAAACCUGCUCCUUCCAUGUAUCUUCUCUAAGUGCUUCUGAGGAUCCUACUCAACACUGGGCACACGCUCUCACCUGUAGACCACCUUGAGCACAGCAAGACUAUAUUCUUGUCUCGCUUCCUGUGUGGUGCCCAGGGUUAGCUCCUUCCACAAGAAUCUUCAGCUUAAUCAAGAGGACCCAAGAAAAGGAAUUCAGGUACACCUUUCAUGUCAUUCUCCAAGUAGAGCUUUGCCUGCAGCUUGAAGCUUGGGUCUCACCUUCGAGUGCUGGGUGUAAGCAGCCCUAGGUAUGGCUGUCUGGUCUGCACCUCAUCUCUGGGUGUCACAGAGAGCAUGUUUGGUAUUGGAUUCCACUAAGAAUUCUACUCAGUUUGGAAGAACCGUCUGUCCUUUAAGUCCUUGGUCUGGACACCUGGUUCCAGGACAGUUGUGGCAGUGGAAGAUCUUGAUGGGCACUGAGCCUUGUUUUGAGAGUCUUCCAUAGGAAGACCCAAGAGCCAGACCCAGGAGCAAUUAUGGCUACCGGAACUCUGUGGGUUUUCUGCCUUCUUCCCAUGGAAGUACUGCCUCCAGUCACAGAGGGACAAUGUGUCCUCAUUUUCCCGAGUCCCUCUGCAUCUGAACCCAGUAACAUGAAGCAGUUCCUUGUGUUGGCGCUGCCUCGACAGGCCAGCUGCUUCACACAGCCAGAAAGGUGCCAACUUUUGUGUCGUGCUAUCAGAAUGGAAUGUUUUAAUUGAGAUAUUUAGCUAAGAUAAACAAGACUUUUCAUAA